CUGCCCAGGUGAAAGUCAUGCCU
rnacentral:misc_RNA from 1 species